GUUUAUGAUUAACAAUUUUCUUGUUAGGUUCAGUCAGAAUAGUCAAUUGUUGCCCAGUCCGUUAGGAAAGAGCACUGGGCAGGCCAAGAUUCUCCCGAGGGAAAAAAUAGCCAUGCCCAGGGCGGAUGAACCCCCCCAAAGGGAGGCCCACCCAUAAAAACAGUGCACAAGAUAAAAAGAAGAGAAAGCCCCCCAAAGAGAGCCCCCCCGCAUUUUUAAUGAUCCUUCCGCAGGUUCACCUACGGAAA
rnacentral:misc_RNA from 1 species